ACCAACAGUCUUCAAAUGACACUUAUUCAUUAACAAAUAUAUGAAUGACAUUAUUAAUUUCAAAUGAUCACAUGAUUGUUGUUGUUAAUAAUGCAUAACCUGAAGAAAAACACAUCAGACCAAAUCUGUUCAGGUGGGUCAUUUGGUUGCAUGAAAACCACCUUAAACCAGCUAAAACUGGUAAACCACUUCAGGCUGGUUUCAUGUUUUAUUCAUCGGGGAAUUUGCAGGAAAUGACUAUAGAACUAAGCUCUGAAGUUCACUAUUGCUCAUGAUACCCAAGGUUUUCAGAUCUGAGUCAUGUUCUCCACUGCAGCAUCGAACACGAGUCCAGUCACGUACAUGAUGGAAAAAAAUCUCCCAUGAUGCUCACCGUGUAGCAUGUGUCCUGUCCAAAUUUAUAUUAAAAUACAGAUGGAAGCUCUAUCUAUCCUAACCCUGUUCUCGUAUAACCCAUUCAAACCCUAAAUGUUAUGAGAAAUACAUUUUGAAUAAGCACAAGGAAUUAUAUCAUUUGACCUUGACGGCUCGUCCGACCUUCAUGAUGCCAGUGAUGUCUGACAUUUUUUCUGUUUAUAUGCUUUUAGAAGCAUUAGAGCGCAAACGGCUGAAUUUAUGUUCGAAAGGGCAUCUUAGCAGAUGGUACAUUCUGGAACGAUAUGACGCAAUGAGCCCAUCGCGAGCGGCCCGCAAGGCACGUCGCGCUGCUCAUUCUUCAACAUUUUCAUUUAAUAAAACACUAACAUUUCACGGGUAUGAAAUUAAUAUUGUAUAUUCUAUAAUAAAGCAUUUAUAUACUUGCUUAAAUCCGCAUGGAAUGUAUGAAUGAACCACCACCUCCAUAUAUUCGUGCAUCACGCAGAAACUGACGGAUUAUAUAACAACUUCCUCACUAACUCAAACGUGGCAAACAAAAUCAUUCAACGCUAACCAUCGACUUUAAAAGGUUUAAAAUGUGUAUGCCAUUUUGCAGUCUGUGAAUUCGACACAAAAAUGAUGUAAAGUCUAUGAGGAAGAGCUCACCUCCUUUAGUGAUGCUGCUGCGACGGCUUCUGCUCGGUUUCCGCGUAAUGCUGCACCAUUUUAUACCGGACACGUGCCACCGGGGCCUGUCACCCUGGCAACCCGACGUCAUACCGUAGGAUAAUUUUAAAGAAGCAUAUACGAGCUAUCUAUCACGAAUGCUAUGGAAACGCUGAUGGGAGACUGGGUGAGACGAUACUAUAGAAGGACAUGGAGGGGAGAUUUAUAACAUGCCUGAAACAAGCGCAGUUCGGUGCUGUAGAGAUGUGCCAGACUUCCAAAAUGCUAAAUGAAACUCUAAAAGAUCCAUACCCCUCAUGCAGAAUUAUGUUACCUGGGCAUAUUAUUAUAUUUUACCCUUCACAAGAUAAGUAGAGCCAUUUAAUUGAAGUUUUCGCCUCUGAAAGUUGCUUUCUGUAUUAAAGCUCCAUGAAAGGAUGCAAGGACACCAGAUAAGUUAUGUUACCAGUUAAUUUACACAAACCCACUUUUUGGAGGCAACCUGAAUCUAAUUUUUCAGAGCAUUGCUAUUAAAAGUACCCAGUGUGCAUUUAUCUUUGCUAUAUUAUUUAAUUUCAUGCAUAGAUACUGGGAAAAAUCACUGUGGUUAUAAUUGUGGCUAUGCAAAAAAUCACGCCCUUUUACUAAAUGACACGUAGUUCAUUAAAUUCAUUUAAACGUUCGUUAUUUGGGCUUAAAUUGUUUAACACAAACCCGCUUACAUAGCCUGCUGUUGGAAAUUAAGGUGCACGUCCUAGUCAAAAAAAAGCAGAAGUGAAUUUGCAUGAAUGUAACGUCAGGAUGAGGAAAGGGUGGAAUUCCGCACGCUGUUGCACGUGACCUUGACAGAGGCGCGCGGAUGCAGACGUGAGAGAAGGCGCGUGCUGCAGGGACCGCGCAGAGAGAGGAGCUGUGGGCGGGGCGUGCUCACACAUUCAGAGCAAACAUAUCUAAUUAAACAUGAAUGGUGCUCCAUAUUGACCUAUCAUCGUGUUUGAGCGUUUUUCUCCUUUAAACCAUAUACAGUAAAAGAAAAGAAGACCAAUUUAUAUAUUAGCCAAGGAAACGACGCAAUACACAACGAGCACCCUCGUGUGGUGUAAAUAUGUUAGUUACAAGACAGCAAUUCUUUAAUUUAGUGUUACUUGUUCUAUUAAAAUAACUAAAACUAAAAUGUAAAUAAGGGUUAAAAUAAAGACAUUUAACAAUAAACAUUUAAAGAUUAAAAGUAUAAAAAUAGAAACAAAGUUAAAAUAGAAAAAAGUUAUAUUAGUAGCUCAAUUAUACUAAAAUAAUACUGCCCCGAACAACUUGUUGGUCAAAACUAUGGUUUGAUAUUUAUGUUAAUUAACCUAUACAUUCUGCUUUUGGUAAUAACUAGAUAAUAUCAAUAAAUACAGAUAAAUACAUUUACUAGCCUUUUUUUUAUUAUUAUUUUAUGUCUUUUAUUGUUAAGGUGACAACCCUGGAAAACCCAUGAGCUUAAAAAGGUAAGAAGAAGAAGUUAAUGAUGAAUUAGGAUAUAAAACUACUAAAGUAAACUAAAAACAAGAGAAAAUGCAAUGUAAGUGUAUCAUGGUAAAAACAGACUCUGGUAAAAGUUAAAAUAGACAUCCAACAUUUGAUAUUGAUUAUUCCAAGUUUUAUGUAAUAUUAAGACAAGCAGGUUUUUAAUUGAUGCUAGAGUCACAUUAAUAAAUCUUUUUUUUUAAAACAUAAAAUAAUUAACUUUUAAAAGCUUUUUUUAAUUACGUAUAAACAAUGAUAUGUGGAGGAGUUGGUGACAUUAAAGAUGCUGAAUCAUUCCUCAUUCGUCCACUGGAUGGAGCUCCUCAAACAUACAGUAAAAAGCCUAAAGCCCAUCAUACAAAAAAUAACUUGAGCAAAACUAACAUUUAAAAGUACAACCACAAAUGUUUGUGAAACCCACAAUCUUCAACUUUCUGGUUUCCUGUAUGAGAUUGCUUAUAGUCUAAAUCCUGGAAAGCGUUUAACUGGGUCAAAAUGAAGAAUGAUGUAGACUAUACACAUCAAGCAAAAGAUUAGGCCAACAGCAACACUGACAUGGUUGAUGAUGCGUGCCAUUCUGGAGUUUCUGCUGGCUAUUUGCUGGUGUCCAAACAUGUUAGCAUCUCGAGUCUGUAAAAAAACAACAACAAAUGUUUCAAUGUUACCUUUAUAGUACCUUUCUUAAAUAACAUUUUAAGGGAUUCACAGGGCAUGAUAUAGAAUCACUAAGAAAACAUUACACAAAUGGAAAUGAGAAAACAUAUCUUGAAUUAUUAUUAUUUUUUUUUUUUUUUCAGCUCUGCUUCCUUGUUUAUAGGCUGUUACAGAGUGGUUUUCGUAAUAAACAAAACCUUUUUAUUUUUGGCUGUUGACAGUAUUUUCUGAUUUAUGGAGCAAUAAAAAAGAAACAAAAUCCUUUUUGUGUAAAAAAAAAAAAAAAGAAAAACUAACAAAACAAUAAAAUCUGUCAACAAUUUUGAACCUUGGUUUGUUCAAUGUCCAAGUAUCUGUUCUGGAUAUGCAAAUUGUAUAUUUAAUUAGACAAUGCCCCAUUUUCAUUUUUUCAGAAUUUCAUGAAAAAAAAAAUUAAUCAAUUCUAAUACAAGACAUGCUGCAUUAAUGUACUCUGAUUUAUCUGGUGACAUCUAUUUGGUUAAAUUGAGCUAUUUAGUUAUUUAUUAUUAACUUUUUAAAUCAGUUUCAAUUCAUUCUAGUCAUACAGUACAAUGACUUGUAAUAAAGCAAAUUAAUAGUUUGUAUCCCACGUUCCCUCCAAACAUCUGUUCUGCAUCAUCAGUUUACAGAUACAUUUAUUAGAAAAAUAUUAUCCAAGCAGAAAACAAACAAUAUUAAUCCAAUCUUUCCUAAUGGCAAAGAUGUGCCAUUUCAAUCCCAAAUUAAAUUUAUCCACACAAAAGAUUUAUCUGGAAGAACAAUUCAUGCAGGUUCUGUAAGAAAGAUAUUUAAAUCUUCUUCUAGUGUGAACUUGUUCAGAAAUUUUCUUUGAAAUUUCAAAACUGGCUUCAUUCCAAAAUAACAUCAUUACACAUUUGACUGUGGUCUCUAUUCAAGUUGGAGUAUUGAUGAAGGAAAUAAACCUAGACUUUUUGGUAAAUAACCUUAUUGUUUUAUGAAAACGUUUUCUUAGAUGUAAGUAUUUGAUGCUUAAACUCCAUUUAAGCGGAUGGAAGAAUGAACUAAAAAUAUUUGCGACUUCUUUUCAUAAGAGGUAACCAAGGCAUAAACUAACACACAAUUUUUCACUUUUUUUUUUCUUUGGUGCCUCACCUCUUUUUUCUGUAAACAAAAAGUUACAAGAAGCAACAAAACUGGAUUUCUGGAUUGCACAAAUAUAUCGAGAGACACUUGUCAUGCUUCACAUGCUGUAAAUAAUCUGAGCAUGUCAAGAAUAGUUAGAAAUAAGCAAAAUCUUGAGUGAGCAUGCAUCAGCAUUAGAUGUAACCCAGUCAGCAUAAGACUAACCUUUAAUGUUGAAAUGCGGUUGAAAUAUUGUCAGUUGUUAUUUUUUUUUUUUACAUUAAAAAAACAUUGGAACAAUUCACUUCUUGUAAAUGCAUGAAGAAAGGUAAAAAAAGGCCAAUAAAUUAAUGUUAAAAAUAAAGUUAGAAUAAAAAAUAUCAACAUCAAUCCAUGAAGUUAAAUCACCAGUAAAUAAACAAUCCUGACUCUCUGUGCUUGUUGUGCCAUACCCAAAAAGACUUAAGGCUGUAAUUCCUGCCAAAGGUGCUUCAACUCAUUACAGAGUAAAGGGUCUGAAUACUUAUAUAAAUGUGAUACUUCAGUUUUUUCUUGAAAUAAGUUAGCAGACAUUUCUAAAAUUCAGUUCUCACCUUGUCAUUAAGAGGUACGUAGUGUAAAAAAAAAACAAAAAAACAAAAAACAAUUGUAUAUCAGGUUGCAACAUAACAAAAUUGAAAAUGUGAAGGGGGUCGGAAUACUUUCAGAAUGCACUGCAAAUAUACUCUAUAUACAAAAGACAAGUACAGUAUAUGUUAAAUGAAAUAUAUAAGACAGGUACAUGAACUAAUACUUACACACACAUACACACAAAUAGCCCGAAUGCACUGUAAGUCACUUUGGAAAAUAUAAUUUCCUAAAUGCAUAAUGUAUGUAAAUGCAAUACUUACUGUGAGGGAGUAAACAAGGGCAGCUGAUCCCAGAGGCAUACAGCAGCACAGCAUGGUAAAGAUGGAGUAGCCCAGGUAAUCUGGCAGUGGAUUGGUCAGUGGAGUGAACACUUCAGCCAUAGGCUGCACAGUGACUACAUUCUGGACCAGAUUUGACCUGGAGUGUACAGGCCAGAUGCUACCAGACCUCCAUGUUGCUGGGAAUUGCUGUAAGAGGGAAGGAAUCCAGCAUCAGAGUACUCCGGAGGGUCCUGCUGCAGUGAAAAAAAGGAUGCCCUGUUUCUGGAUUCUGAGAUGAAUUCCACUCUGUUGUAGACUUUCUUGAAUCCAUAUUUCUCUUGAUUGCUAUUAGCUCUUCUGCAGCUCUGAAGUGUCUCUCACUAGUCAGUGAAUAUUAAUCUGUCGCAUUUGUGCACAUCCCUUUUAAGGGGACUGGUAGGUGGGUUGUCUUGUAAGUUGAGGUGUGACAAGAUUUUGGCAUAGAUUUAAUUUUCUAGCAAUUCUCCAGCUUGACUGCGAGUGCCAUCUGGUGGAAUCAACAUGCAAC
ensembl:lncRNA